rnacentral:rRNA from 1 species
GGAUACGACCCGCCACCUCAUGGUGGAAGGCGGAAAGUUUUUCGGUCAGGGAUGGGCUCGCGGCCUAUCUGCUUGUUGGUGGGGUAACGGCCUACCAAGGCGAUUACGGGUAGCCCGCCUGAGAGGGCGACCGGCCACACUGGGACUGAGACACGGCCCACACUCCUGCGGGAGGCAGCAGUGGGGAAUAUUGCGCAAUGGGCGAAAGCCUGACGCAGCGACGCCGCGUGGGGGAUGACGGCCUUCGGGUUGUAAACCUCUUUUACCACCAACGCAGGCUCGAAGUUCUCUUCGGGUUGACGGUAGGUGGGGAAUAAGGACCGGCUAACUACGUGCCAUCAGCCGCGGGAAUACGUAGGGUCCGAGCGUUGUCCGGAAUUAUUGGGCGUAAAGAGCUCGUAGGCGGCGUGUCCCGUCUGCUGUGAAAGACCGGGGCUUAACUCCGGUUCUGCAGUGGAUACGGGCAUGCUAGAGGUAGGUAGGGGAGACUGGAAUUCCUGGUGGUACGGCGAAAGGCGCAGAAAACAGGAGGAACACCGGGGGCGAAGGCGGGUCUCUGGGCCGUACCUGACGCUGAGGAGCGAAAGCAUGGGGAGCGAACAGGAGAGAAACCCGGGAAGCCCCGCC